rnacentral:rRNA from 1 species
UACGUAGGGCGCAAGCGUUAUCCGGAAUUAUUGGGCGUAAAGAGCUCGUAGGCGGGUUGUCGCGUCUGCCGUGAAAGUCCGGGGCUCAACUCCGGAUCUGCGGUGGGUACGGGCAGACUAGAGUGAUGUAGGGGAGACUGGAAUUCCUGGUGUAGCGGUGAAAUGCGCAGAUAUCAGGAGGAACACCGAUGGCGAAGGCAGGUCUCUGGGCAUUAACUGACGCUGAGGAGCGAAAGCAUGGGGAGCGAACAGG